UACAGAGGGUGCGAGCGUUGUUCGGAAUUAUUGGGCGUAAAGCGCUUGUAGGCGGCACGUCAAGUCGCGUGUGAAAUCCCCAGGCUUAACCUGGGAAGUGCGCGCGAAACUGGCGAGCUUGAGUGCCGGAGAGGGUCGCGGAAUUCCCGGUGUAGAGGUGAAAUUCGUAGAUAUCGGGAGGAACACCAGUGGCGAAGGCGGCGACCUGGACGGACACUGACGCUGAGACGCGAAAGCGUGGGGAGCAAACAGG
rnacentral:rRNA from 1 species